rnacentral:rRNA from 1 species
CAGCCGUAAACUAUGCUCGCUAGGUGUCAGGCAUGGCGCGACCGUGUCUGGUGCCGCAGGGAAGCCGUGAAGCGGGCCACCUGGGAAGUACGGCCGCAAGGCUGAAACUUAAAGGAAUUGGCGGGGGAGCACAACAACGGGUGGAGCCUGCGGUUUAAUUGGACUCAACGCCGGGAAGCUCACCGGAUAAGACAGCGGAAUGAUUGCCGGGCUGAAGACUCUGCAUGACUAGCUGAGAGGAGGUGCAUGGCGUAGACGUCU